rnacentral:rRNA from 1 species
UACGACUACAUAUCAGGCAUAUCAAUAAGCGGAGGAAAAGAAACUAACAAGGAUUCCCUUAGUAACGGCGAGCUGAAGCGGGAAGAGCUCAAAUUUGAAAUCUUCAAGGUUUUACCUUGACGAAUUGUAGUUUAAAGAAGUGUUUUCUGUUGGAGUUUUGGUAAAAGUUCUUUGGAAUAGGACAUCAUAGAGGGUGAGAAUCCCGUAUUUGACCAUUAUUUCAGCUUCGUGAUACACUUUCAAAGAGUCGGAUUGUUUGGGAAUGCAGUCCGAAAUGGGUGGUAAAUUUCAUCUAAAGCUAAAUAUUGGCGAGAGACCGAUAGCGAACAAGUACCAGUGAGGGAAAGAUGAAAAGAACUUUGAAAAGAGAGUUAAACAGUACGUGAAAUUGUCAAAAGGGAAGCGUUUGACACCAGUGUUGUUUUCUCGAAAAUCAAUUAAAAAAAGUUGGAUUUUGUGUUGUAUUGACCUUAACAGCUUGCUUCACUCUUUUCCAGCUUUUUUUAAUGCACUUUUCGUUUAACAAGUCAACAUCAGUUUCUUUUGUUGUAAAAGGGUCAUUGGAAGGUGGCUUUCUUUCGGAGAAAGUGUUUAUAGCCUUUGCUCUCUGCAAUCGGAGAGAUUGAGGUCUGCAGCGUAGAUCCUUCGGGGUUAGAUACAUUUGUGCUAAGCUACAGCUUUUCAUAGACAACUUGUUGACUAUGUUUAGUCUUGUGACUUACCCGCUUAUGCUAUUUUACCUACGCUUAGGAUGUUGAGCGCAUGUCUCUCUCU